GUAUCUUCUGAGAGGUUGUUCUCUCUCCACUUCUCAUUCAAGUCUGAGGAUGCUUACAGUCACCUGCAGUACUUCUAAAUCCAGAGUUUUGAGAUGGAAGAGGUCACAGCUCCGAUGAUCUCAGCCUAAGAAGAUGAGGAAGAAGACCAGCACAAGUGCUACGACCCAGUGACCUCAUGGGAAACCUUGGGGAGCGAUAGCAUUCAAGAAGGAACAUGGGGAAGAGUAUCCAGAGUACAGAGUGGAAGCCUUUGCCCUCUUCUUUCAGCUCUCCAAGGAAUGUCUUCCUGCCCAGUGACCUGGACAACUGCCUGUCUUUAGAAUUAACGAAUGCUCUGACUUACAGAGUCUCUCUCAAAUCAGUUUUUGCCGGUAUCAGGAUUUCUCUGGAGGACUCAACAAAGUCCUCUCCAUGCCUGAGAUUCCUACAAUGAUUGAAAUUCCAUUGUUUCUUCCCCGUGGCACCCAGGCCACUGUAGGCUGUGCCAUUUGGUUCUCGCCUCAAGUUCCUGCCCUGCCUUCAUUUCACUAUACCUAGAAGCUGAAAUAAACUAUUUCCUCCA
rnacentral:lncRNA from 1 species